GACGAACGCUGGCGGCGUGCCUAAUACAUGCAAGUAGGACGCAGUUGCGAACGGGUGAGUAACGCGUAGGUAACUACCUAUUAGAGGGGGAUAACUAUUGGAAACGAUAGCUAAUACCGCAUACUAGUAGAUGGACUUGCGUUGUAUUGGCUAGUAGGUCGGGUAAUGGCAUACCUAGGCAACGAUACAUAGCCGAACGGAGAGGGUGAACGGGCAAACCGGGACUGAUACACGGCCCAGACUCCAACGGGAGGCAGCAGUAGGGGAGCUGCAGCAAUGGGGAGAACCCUGACCGAGCAACGCCGAGGGAGGGAAGAAGGUUUUCGGAUCGUAAAGCUCUGUUGUUAAGGAAGCGGUACUUAACCAGAAAGGGACGGCUAACUACGUGCCAGCCGCCGCGGUAAUUC
rnacentral:rRNA from 1 species